CAGUGGGGAAUAUUGGACAAUGGGCGCAAGCCUGAUCCAGCCAUACCGCGUGGGUGAAGAAGGCCUUCGGGUUGUAAAGCCCUUUUGUUGGGAAAGAAAUCCAGCUGGCUAAUACCCGGUUGGGAUGACGGUACCCAAAGAAUAAGCACCGGCUAACUUCGUGCCAGCAGCCGCGGUAAUACGAAGGGUGCAAGCGUUACUCGGAAUUACUGGGCGUAAAGCGUGCGUAGGUGGUCGUUUAAGUCCGUUGUGAAAGCCCUGGGCUCAACCUGGGAACUGCAGUGGAUACUGGACGACUAGAGUGUGGUAGAGGGUAGCGGAAUUCCUGGUGUAGCAGUGAAAUGCGUAGAGAUCAGGAGGAACAUCCAUGGCGAAGGCAGCUACCUGGACCAACACUGACACUGAGGCACGAAAGCGUGGGGAGCAAACAGGAUUAGAUAC
rnacentral:rRNA from 1 species